UAACAGCAAAACUUUUACUGUCCUGUGGU
rnacentral:piRNA from 1 species